rnacentral:lncRNA from 12 species
GAGAAGGAGGUGCUUUCACCUGUACUAAAGGGGCCACAAGUCUCCUGUUCUGGCUGCAGAGGUCAGGAAAUGAUGAUAUUUGCUGUCAGUUCGAGCUCGCAGCCCAGGAUGCUCCUGUGAAUUGGGAUCCUUCCCAGCUCCCUGCCUUUGUCACUCGGGAUCGCCACCAGCAGCGAGGGACAAGGGGCUGCAGAAUGGACAAACCUCAAAGGCUGGGCUUUCCAAAAGGAUAAUACUCACCACCAGAACCAUGUUAGGUGUCAUUCCGUGUUUCGCUGAAGGAAAGUAGCCCGAGGCAGCUGCUGACACCUGAGCUG